UAGCCUCUCUCUUAUCCGGACUCAUCGGGACUGAGGCCAGUCCGGAUAACGUUUUUUCCGGUUAAACCGACGUUCCCUAAAAGUUGUUAAAUUGGUACGCAUAUUUUGUAGUUUAUAAGCCAAUAAUGACUUUUACGUAAAAAUAAUAAAACUAGAUGCUUUAUUAUGAUAUCUUUUUUAAGUCAGGAAUCUCAGCUCAAUCUUUCCCACGAGAAAAGUUGUAACAGCAGUUUCCAUUUCCUGCCAAUCCAGUCCGGUUGAACCGAUGUGCUGAUAAUUAUUUUCCGGUUAAAGAGAUGUCACUUCCGUGGAGUGUAGUCCGGUUAAACCGAUGUCCGGUUAAAAGGUGUCCGGUUAAGAGAGAGGCUACUGUAUUUAGAUUUAUUUAUU